UACGUAGGGGGCAAGCGUUGUUCGGAUUCAUUGGGCGUAAAGGGUGCGUAGGCGGCGCGAUAAGUCGGGUGUGAAAUCUCGGGGCUUAACUCCGAAACUGCAUUCGAUACUGCCGUGCUUGAGGACUGGAGAGGAGACUGGAAUUUACGGUGUAGCGGUGAAAUGCGUAGAUAUCUGGAGGAACACCGAUGGCGAAGGCAGGUCUCUGGGCCGAUACUGACGCUGAGGAGCGAAAGCGUGGGGAGCGAACAGGA
rnacentral:rRNA from 1 species